rnacentral:rRNA from 1 species
UACGAAGGGGGCUAGCGUUGCUCGGAAUCACUGGGCGUAAAGGGUGCGUAGGCGGGUUCUUAGUCAGGGGUGAAAUCCUGGAGCUCAACUCCAGAACUGCCUUUGAUACUGAGGAUCUUGAGUUCGGGAGAGGUGAGUGGAACUGCGAGUGUAGAGGUGAAAUUCGUAGAUAUUCGCAAGAACACCAGUGGCGAAGGCGGCUCACUGGCCGAUACUGACGCUGAGGCACGAAAGCGUGGGGAGCAAACAGG